UUUUUUUUGCUGUUUUAAUUUAUUUGGGAUUUUUUUUAGUCCACUAGAUUCUUCUAUUGCUACUCAAUUCCGAGAUUUGAUCAUGCUUUUUUGAAUCGCAUCAUAAAGAGGUGAUGAGGCUUUCAACCCAUUUACAAAGGAUCCUAAUGCCAUUGGGUGUUUGAGUGGUAUUUUCGUUUCUAUUGUCUGUCUAUUUUUAUCAUAUAUUCUUUUGUGUGAUUAUUUUGGAAUAUUUUGUAUGUUGUCACCGGAUCCAGCAUAACAAGGUUUGUCACACUCAAAAUUGCAGGCUACCACACAGGAAUAAGAACUCAUGAAGAGAACAAGGGCUUUAAAUUUCUAAAUCCGUACGAUUUUGGUUGGAACGCAAAGCAAGCAUGCAUGGACAAUCAUCGAUAGGUUUUGAUUAUGAUUUAAUUCUUUAUUGCUUUUGGCUAAUUUUGUGUUUUAAAUGAUUUAGCUAAUUGUGUUUAGAGAUAUUAUUUCUCUCUAUUUUUUAUAGCUAAUUGUUUACAUGUAUUAUUUCUCUAUGUUUUAUGUACUUUUGAUAUUCAUACUGUUCUCAAACACAACAUCAAAAAAGAAAUGAGUAGUUUUGCGAGGAGAUGAUAGAAUUCAAAGAA